rnacentral:rRNA from 1 species
UACAGAGACUGCAAGCGUUAUUCGGAUUCACUGGGCGUAAAGGGUGCGCAGGCGGCCGUGUGUGUGAGGCGUGAAAGCCCGGGGCUUAACCCCGGAAUUGCACCUCAAACUACAUGGCUAUAGCAUUGGAGAGGGUAGCAGAAUUCAUGGUGUAGCAGUGAAAUGCGUAGAUAUCAUGAGGAAUACCAGAGGCGAAGGCGGCUACCUGGACAAUUGCUGACGCUCAGGCACGAAAGCGUGGGGAGCAAAAGGG